rnacentral:misc_RNA from 1 species
UAGUUGUUAAUGUAAGUACAAUAAUUUAAAACUUUCACUUCAUAAUAAUAAAGGAACAAUGUGCCCGCUUUUAAUUUCUGUUAAAUGAUGUAGUGUUAUAAAUAAUAAGAUCAUUAAAACUUAGUAUCCAAUAUGUACAAUUUAACAAAUAUAUCGCAACAAAUUUAUCCAUCGUUUAAUAAUAUGGUUAAUAUUCCUAACUUGGAAGGAACAAUCAUAUAUGGAAAAGAGAGUGAAAAUGAAAUAUUUCUUCCUUAUCUGAAAUCUUUAGAUGAUAGCUCAAAAAAUUACGAAAAUAUACAUAGACACGUCCAUAAAAAAGCUGAGCAAAUUGGGACAGUUCACACACAAAUAUAAAUGGAAAUACUUAUCGUUAGUUAACUUCUAUUCAACUUGAAUCUGAGUAAAAAUAUAUAAAUUUGGUCAGUAAAAAAUUUUCUCUCUGAGCAAUUAAAAGAAAAGUCUCCCAUCUCCCUCUAAUCUUAAUAAUGUUGUCAUAAAUUCAUAGCCAAAGGAUGAUGUCACCCCAUCAAAGAAGACAAAGUUUCAGAGUUUUCUCUCGAGACUUCAUUCUACCUAACAGAUGGUAAUACUUCAAAUAUUAUAUUUCUAUAAUUACAUAGGAUAUUAUUAACCCAAGAAGUAAAUAUAAUUUGGUACAAGUUAAGAAAUCGAUUAAUUUAAGAUCGUGAGACAUUUUUAUGGCAAUGGAAUUCUUUAAAAUUAAACACCGUUAUUGCGACCUGAUUGACUCAUUGUAACAUCCUCACGUUAUAAGGAAAGAUGCAAAAUUGAGAGACUGAUCUUCAAAUGGCAAGUGAUUACGUUUCUGAGGCAAUAUUAAUUCUCGACUUCCUCUCCAUCGAAGGGAAAUACUAAGAACUGAAAUGAAAGUGUUGUUCACGUCGGCUCGCUUCUCCUCCUUCUUUCGUCUUCUUUUAUCAUUUUACAUUAUGCAGUAAUACUGUCAGUAUCUUUGUGUAUGUGAUCUGUUGUGUAAGAUGAGGAAUGAGGAUAAAUAGUCCAGGCAGUACUUUAGUACGCUCUCUGAAUAGUCUGCAGGACUGGGGAAGAGAAGAGAAGGAAUACGUGAAAUAUUUGGUAUCAAGUGUUGUGUUUGUGUGCCUCCUAUUUCUCCUUUUAUUUUUUCCCGACUUCUUUCUUUUACUUAUAUUAAAUGAAAAUGUAUAAAAUAUGCAUGUACAUUAGUCCUUUUUUAAAAAAAAAUAUUCUAACGACUUUAAUUAAUAACUGGAAAUUGUUAUCUAUUUUAUAAAAUUAUAAAUAUUAGAAUUGGAUCUAUUUAAUGUAA